CUCCUGACCUCAGUUGAUCCACCUGUCUCGGCCUCCCAAAGUGCUGGGAUUACAGGCAUGAGCCACCUUGCCCAGCCAAGACAUCAGUACUUUUUAAGUCCCUUCCCCCAAGGUGGUUCCUAAGUGCAAAGCAGCUCCACAGCUGGUGACUUACAACAUUUAAAAAGGUAAUUGUAUUGUUUUAAGAACAGACUAGCAGUUUCUAGAGGCUGGGGUAAGGAGAGUGGGUCCACUAGGGCAAUAAAGUGUGGGAUUUGGAAACA